CAGGGCAUGGGGCAGGGCAAGGGUGGUUAGACAGUUGGCAUCCCAACGUGUGCUGCUGAUCUCCCGUAGGCUUUUUCCUCUACAUCAGUACCGGCCCACAGGACCUGAGCAGCGGUGCAGCCAGACUGAUUAGUCCAGUUUUCCAAGCAACCACGACCAGCAGCUGCUCUCUCGUGUUCUACUCCCACCUCUACGACUCGGCCACCAGCAGCCUCAACAUCUACUACCAAACCAAGGCCGUCACGCAGCUCAUGCACACGAGGGCUGGGGACCUGGGCAAUUACUGGUUCAGGGAGAAAGUGGACUUCAAUGUGACCAAGAACUUCCAGAUCAUUCUUGAGGGCAUGAUCGGAACAGGACAGAAAGGAAGCAUGGCCCUGGAUGACUUGGUUCUAUCCCCAGGCUGCGUCCGGGCUGCA